rnacentral:rRNA from 1 species
AUUGGAGGGCAAGUCUGGUGCCAGCAGCCGCGGUAAUUCCAGCUCCAAAAGCGUAUAUUAAAGUUGUUGCAGUUAAAAAGCUCGUAGUUGAACCUUGGGCUUGGCUGGCCGGUCCAUCUUUUUGAUGCGUACUGGACCCAGCCGAGCCUUUCCUUCUGGGUAGCCAUUUAUGGCGAACCAGGACUUUUACUUUGAAAAAAUUAGAGUGUUCAAAGCAGGCCUUUGCUCGAAUAUAUUAGCAUGGAAUAAUAGAAUAGGACGUUAUGGUUCUAUUUUGUUGGUUUCUAGGACCAUCGUAAUGAUUAAUAGGGACGGUCGGGGGUAUCAGUAUUCAGUUGUCAGAGGUGAAAUUCUUGGAUUUACUGAAGACUAACUACUGCGAAAGCAUUUACCAAGGACGUUUUCAUUAAUCAAGAACGAAAGUUAGGGGAUCGAAGAUGAUCAGAUACCGUCGUAGUCUUAACCAUAAACUAUGCCGACUAGGGAUCGG